GGCUCUUCCCAGCCAGACGUUUUCACGUUACUUAGUUUCACGUUACUGAAACUAAGCUUAUAAAGAGUUUCAUAAGAUUGCACAAAAUUUCUAAGCAGCACAGUGGUACAUGUAUUUUCAUUUGGGUAUCUCUUGCCUUCCACAGAAUUGGCUUGAAAGGUAAGUGUUA
rnacentral:lncRNA from 1 species